CCCCCCUCGCCCCCCCCGCCCCCCACCUCCCCUCCCCCUCCUCCCCUCCCCCUCCCGGUUUACCCCGCGGGGCUAGCGUGGGCGGGGCCGGGCAGCCCGGGGGUCUGGGGGGGUGGGGGGGGAGUACCCGGCAGGCGGCCCCCGGGUGCGCAGGGCCGAGCUCUGGGACCUCCCGUCGGUGCCCCGGACCAGCUGCGUCGAGGCCUGCGCCCAUCGCCUCCUCGAGCUUCCUCAGAGGGCGUUGGCCCUGCUGCCCGCCCGCAAAUCCAUCCCGGUCCCCGUCCCCACGAGGGUGGCCCGAGGGCCCGAGGAUGAACGGGGGUCGCAAAGCGCAGGAGGGCCCAGGUGGAGCUGGAGGCGCUGGGAAGCUGUCCCUCGGGCCACCACAAGAAGAGUGUCUUCAGCGAGUUGGUUUGGGAAACUCGGCUCCUGGAGAGGCGGUUGUGGGGGGCUGCGGGUGGGGCGCUGGGCCCAGCCCGGAGCAGGACCGGGCGCCGUGUUACCCCGUCGGCCACCUGAGGGUGAAGUCCCCAUCCAGGCUCCUCCGUCCGUCGCAGGAGGCCCCGAGCCGCUGUUCUCCGCCUUCACCGGGGAGAUGCCGGUGCCCCUCGGAACUGCGGGGUGAACUGAGGGGCGGAAUUCAAGACCUAGCGCUCCCUCCUUUAAAAGUACGUGCAAAAACGAAUUGCCAAUGCAGUUUACUAUGGAGAGUCACGGGGGAAGUUUGGGGGGGUGCAUUGGGGGAGCCACUGGAGGAGCAGCCCCCCAGCAGCUCAGAACGGCUGUGCCCGGGCCUCGCGGAGCCGGGCGGUUAGCUGACGGCUGGCAGGAGGCCUGGGCGCUGGCACCUGGAGAGAAAGGGAGACGAUUCUAAGAGAUUCACAUCAAAGCCACACAGGAACAGUCUAACUUUGCGGCAGGUUAAUUCAAAUAUUUCAAGAGCCUAACUUCAUAAGUUGUCAUUUGGAAUGGAAGCAGGGAAGGCUGAUGCUGCUGUGCGUAGACACGCCUCCUGCCCGUGCGGACCCUCCCCGACCUGAGGAAAAGCCCGGCCCGGGCGCACCGGAGGUCUCCUGGCUCAGAACUGCGGCAGGAGCUCGAGGAUGUUGAUGAAGGGACUUCGUAGGUCCUCUCGAUUGUUUUCUUUGCUGUGGCAAAUGCCAGCUGUGUUGUUGUUUACAAAAGAAGGAAAGAAUAAUCGCGGUAGAAAUGAUAAGACUUUGGUCUAAAAUUCAC
rnacentral:lncRNA from 1 species